GGCCAGGAUCGCCCGGCUGCCGGGCGCCGCCUGGCGCGCGGCCAAGGACGGACUGGAACGCGGUCCGGUCCUGGUCC
rnacentral:tRNA from 1 species